rnacentral:rRNA from 1 species
CAUUCACGGAGAGUUUGAUCCUGGCUCAGGACGAACGCUGGCGGCGUGCUUAACACAUGCAAGUCGAACGAUGAACCACCUUCGGGUGGGGAUUAGUGGCGAACGGGUGAGUAACACGUGGGCAAUCUGCCCUGCACUCUGGGACAAGCCCUGGAAACGGGGUCUAAUACCGGAUACUGAACCACUUGGGCAUCCAGGCGGUUCGAAAGCUCCGGCGGUGCAGGAUGAGCCCGCGGCCUAUCAGCUUGUUGGUGAGGUAACGGCUCACCAAGGCGACGACGGGUAGCCGGC